CCCCAACCAAGCCAACUUUCUUUCUCCUACACCCUCACUGCCGAAACCCCUCCCCACCAUAGCUCCUCCAUUACACCUCCAUCCCUCCACCAAAUCUCCACCAUUUUCCUCCGUUCGAACACCCCUGUGACCCGAAUCUAAACCCGAACAAAACCCCCAUAAAAAAUUACCAUCCGACCGUCAUAUCGGUCUGAUUCGGGAUUUACCUCGCACAAAAGUUUCAAUUUUUCUUGCACCUUUCAUCGAUUCAGGCAUGGCUAGUAGUUCUCGCCGAGGUAAAGGGAGAAAGACAGGAGAGGGUCAGUCAGCACCGCAGCAAGAUCCGGUUCCUCAAGAAACACCGAUUAUUCAAAUAGCGGCCGAUGAUCCGAAACUGAGGAAGAUUAAAUAUUAGUCGUCUUUUAACUUUAUUCCGGAUCAGAAAAUGCACAGAGCUGACCACCCGAUUUUGAAAUUUGAACCGAUGAUAGCAGAAUGGAAUAAAUAUGAUAAGCUGAAUGACACUGAGCUACUUCAGCAUCGGGUUAUCGAUUGGGGUUGGUUGGAGGAGAUAGGUUCAUUACAGGAAGUGCAGGACCUUGUGGAUCCUAAGUUAUCUAACGCGUUGGAGUGCACACAGCCUCAGUAUGAGGAGUUAGUACUGGAGUUUCAUAGUACGUGGUUACAUAAGGAAAGGAAGUUCGAGCAGGGCACAACUGUGUCGUUUAGUUUGGGUAGGCAAGUGUAUGAAAUGAAUAUGGCGCGGUUUGCUAUAGUUUCGGGGUUGUAUACCGAAGAGGGGGUGAAGAGGCCGGAGUUUGUUACUUGCUUGAGGGUGCUUAUAAUAAGCCGAGGGAUUAUAGUGUCGAUGCGACCGAGUUGAGAGAGUUUUGGAGUACGAUUUCCGAUCAUCCGUUUGCGACUACGAACCUGAUCACGUCGGUUCGUAACCCGGUGUAUAGGUAUGUGCUGAAGAUCUUGUCUACUACACUUGUAGGUCGGAAGUCGGGGGAGAACAAAGCAAUCUGGAUAGAGUUGUUUAUCUUGAUGUGUAGAGUGCAGAAGAGGGAGAUGAAUCUGGCUACGGUCUUAGCAGAUUCGUUUAGUAGAGGUCGUCGAGGUGGUAUUCGUGCUGGGUUGGAUAUUGGCCCCUACAUCACUAGGAUUGCAAAAAAUUUGGGGGUGCUUGACAAAUAUCUGCCCGAAUUUUUACACGAGGGGCCUAAGACGGUGACCUUUGGGUUGAAGGAGCUGCAGCAGGCAGGCAUAGUGUCAUGGCAGGGACCCUACGGCUGGGAGCCGAUCAGACAGGGUCCACAGGUUCAGCCGCCACAGGGACAUCCGGCUCAGGAUGUCAUGAUUCAGAUUGAGCCGACACAUAGGCAGCGACCACCUCUGUGACACGAGCUGUCAGCACGUCAGUACCCGAGGAGGCAGCCUCCACCAGUGCCUCUUACUUUGGAGUCGUUCUCUGUGUAUGUGGAGCAGAGGUUCGACAGGCUGGAGCAUUUGAUCGAGUCACUUCGGGUGGGCUAGCCGAGGCAGCAGGAGGGCCCGACUGGUGAGGAUGCGAGAGUUGAUCCAGAGCCUUCAGUUCAGGUAGUUGGAGAGAGCAGUGGUGCAGCUGGGCAGCAGGAGUAGUUUAGACAUGGCACGAGGAUGUAGGAGCAUCGACUGAUACUAUAUCUUUUGCUGAUUAUUUUUCUUUUAUGCUAUUUUUGAUCCUCAUACUUUUGGUAUGUACUGAUAUUUAUACAUGUUAAACAGGUUGGUUAGGGUGGCUGGGUUGGUUGAUGUGAUGAAACUGAUGAACUACUGAUGAAUUUGAUAUAUAUAUAUAUAUAUAUAUGACAUAUUUUGCUAGUUUGUUUGAUGAUUGAUAA